rnacentral:rRNA from 1 species
UACGUAGGGCGCGAGCGUUGUCCGGAAUUAUUGGGCGUAAAGAGCUUGUAGGCGGUCUGUCGCGUCUGCUGUGAAAAUCCGGGGCUCAACCCCGGACUUGCAGUGGGUACGGGCAGACUAGAGUGUGGUAGGGGAGACUGGAAUUCCUGGUGUAGCGGUGAAAUGCGCAGAUAUCAGGAGGAACACCGAUGGCGAAGGCAGGUCUCUGGGCCGCUACUGACGCUGAGAAGCGAAGGCAUGGGGAGCGAACAGG